UACAGAAGGUGCGAGCGUUAAUCGGAAUUACUGGGCGUAAAGGGUGCGUAGGUGGUUUUGUAAGUUAGGUGUGAAAGUCCCGGGCUUAACCUGGGGAUUGCGCCUGAUACUGCAAAGCUAGAGUACUGUAGAGGAAAGUGGAAUUUCCAGUGUAGCGGUGAAAUGCGUAGAUAUUGGAAGGAACAUCAGUGGCGAAAGCGACUUUCUGGACAGAUACUGACACUGAGGCACGAAAGCGUGGGGAGCAAACAGG
rnacentral:rRNA from 1 species